GAACUGCGAUAAGUAAUGUGAAUUGCAGAAUUCAGUGAAUCAUCGAGUCUUUGAACGCACAUUGCGCCCCCUGGUAUUCCGGGGGGCAUGCCUGUCCGAGCGUCAUUGCUGCCCUUCAAGCCCGGCUUGUGUGUUGGGUCGUCGUCCCCUCCGGGGGACGGGCCCGAAAGGCAGCGGCGGCACCGCGUCCGGUCCUCGAGCGUAUGGGGCUUUGUCACCCGCUCGAUAAGGACCGGCCGGGCGCCAGCCGGCGUCUCCAACCUUUUUUUCUCAGGUUGACCUCGGAUCAGGUAGGGAUACCCGCUGAACUUAAGC
rnacentral:misc_RNA from 1 species